UGGGGAAUAUUGCACAAUGGGGGAAACCCUGAUGCAGCGACGCCGCGUGAGUGAAGAAGUAUUUCGGUAUGUAAAGCUCUAUCAGCAGGGAAGAUAAUGACAGUACCUGACUAAGAAGCCCCGGCUAACUACGUGCCAGCAGCCGCGGUAAUACGUAGGGGGCAAGCGUUAUCCGGAUUUACUGGGUGUAAAGGGAGCGUAGACGGAGUGGCAAGUCUGAAGUGAAAACCCUGGGCUUAACCUAGGGACUGCUUUGGAAACUGUUAAUCUAGAGUGUUGGAGAGGUAAGUGGAAUUCCUGGUGUAGCGGUGAAAUGCGUAGAUAUCAGGAAGAACACCGGAGGCGAAGGCGGCUUACUGGACAAUAACUGACGUUGAGGCUCGAAAGCGUGGGGAUCAAACAGGAUUAGAUACCCUGGUAGUCCACGCUGUAAACGAUGAAUACUAGGUGUCGGGGAGCAAAGCUUCUCGGUGCCGUCGCAAACGCAAUAAGUAUUCCACCUGGGGAGUACGUUCGCAAGAAUG
rnacentral:rRNA from 1 species